rnacentral:rRNA from 1 species
CCGGAGGAAAAGAAACCAACAGGGAUUGCCCCAGCUAGCGGCGAGUGAAGCGGCAAAAGCUCAGAUUUGGAAUCGCUUCGGCGAGUUGUGAAUUGCAGGUUGGCGCCUCUGCGGCGGCGGCGGUCCAAGUCCCUUGGAACAGGGCGCCAUUGAGGGUGAGAGCCCCGUGGGACCGUUUGCCUAUGCUCUGAGGCCCUUCUGACGAGUCGAGUUGUUUGGGAAUGCAGCUCUAAGCGGGUGGUAAAUUCCAUCUAAGGCUAAAUACUGGCGAGAGACCGAUAGCGAACAAGUACUGUGAAGGAAAGAUGAAAAGCACUUUGAAAAGAGAGUGAAACAGCACGUGAAAUUGUUGAAAGGGAAGGGUAUUGCGCCCGACAUGGAGCGUGCGCACCGCUGCCCCUCGUGGGCGGCGCUCUGGGCGUGCUCUGGGCCAGCAUCGGUUUUUGCCGCGGGAGAAGGGCGGCGGGCAUGUAGCUCUUCGGAGUGUUAUAGCCUGCCGCCGGCGCCGCGAGCGGGGACCGAGGACUGCGACUUUUGUCUCGGUAUGCUGGCACAACGGCGCAACACCGCCCGUCUU